AUUGAACGCUGGCGGCAUGCCUUACACAUGCAAGUCGAACGGUAACGGGCCUUCGGGUGCCGACGAGUGGCGAACGGGUGCGUAAUACAUCGGAACGUGCCCGAUCGUGGGGGAUAACGAGGCGAAGGCUUUGCUAAUACCGCAUACGAUCUACGGAUGAAAGCAGGGGACCGCAAGGCCUUGCGCGGACGGAGCGGCCGAUGGCAGAUUAGGUAGUUGGUGGGAUAAAAGCUUACCAAGCCGACGAUCUGUAGCUGGUCUGAGAGGAUGAUCAGCCACACUGGGACUGAGACACGGCCCAGACUCCUACGGGAGGCAGCAGUGGGGAAUUUUGGACAAUGGGCGCAAGCCUGAUCCAGCCAUGCCGCGUGCAGGAUGAAGGCCUUCGGGUUGUAAACUGCUUUUGUACGGAACGAAAAGCCUUCUUUUAAUACAGGAGGGUCAUGACGGUACCGUAAGAAUAAGCACCGGCUAACUACGUG
rnacentral:rRNA from 1 species